GGCUGGAGCUGUGCUGGUCCAAAGCCAGAAGCCAGGAGCUUCUUCCAGGUCUUCCAUGUGAGUGCACGGGCCUAAGGUCUUGGGCCAUCUUCUACUGCUCUCCCAGGCCAUAGCAGAGAGCUGGAUCAGAAGUGGAGCAGCCAGGACUUGAACCGGCACCCACAUGGGAUGCCAGCACUGCAGGCGGCGGCUUUACCUGCUACGCUACAGUGCCGGCCUCUUGUGUACCUCUUUCAUUGUUUCUGGCUCUGAAAUUGGAGAUUCUUUGGAGUCUGGGGGAAGAAACCUCAGAGAGCAAGCUUAGGGGUGGGGUGAAGCAGCUCAUCAUCCCGCUUCAUUUUGCUAAUUCUGACAUCCUUCGUGAUUACCUUAGUAACAAGGCUGUGAAAAUACGAUUGGGGCGCAGGUGUUUGGCACAGAUGUUCAGAUGCCACCUGCGAUGCCCACAUCCCAUAUCAGAGUGUCUGGUUCAAGUUUCAGCUCUGCUUCCGACUCCCACUUCCUGCCAGUUUGCACCAUGGGAGGUAGUAGGUGAUGGCUCAAGUACUUAAGUCCCAGCUGCCUAUGUGGGAAACCAGGAUUGAAUUUCCUGCUCCUGGCUUCUGUCUGGUCCAGCCCUGGAUGUUGUGGACAUUUGGGAAAUGUGCCUGUGUCUUUCUGUUUCUCUGGCUCUCUGCCUUUCAAAUAAAUAAAAAUACAUUUUUGAAAAUAUGGCUGGGAAGGUGCCCCUUGGGAGCACCUGAAUGGAAAGACGUCUGACUCCCUCGCUGUCUCCCGUACAACCUAACCACAACUCCCCAAGCUAUGCCUCUACAGAAGGAGCUUUGCUGACUGUCUAAUACCUUUUUACUCACUCCCUCACAUCUGGAGACCCAACAGAGGAUCUUUGUUCUUUUUCAUUGCUCCCAUGGCCUUGACAGAAAACCCUGCUUUCAGGAUCGAGACCUAUUCUUGUUGACCUUUAUGGGUGAGUCCCCUCUCCCCAUAGAUUUCAGUAAAUCCUUUUAUGAGAGCCAGACUGAGUGAAGCCUACCAUCCCAGUGGUAAGGUAAGGACAGACACCUUGCUAGGUGACUUGUGUAGCUACCCUUGGGCAAACACUGACUUGAAUGUUAAGCAGUUUAUUUUCUGGUGGGGUGGGAGAAAGAUCCAAGAAAGCCAAUUCGCAGUUUCAAAAAAAUACAGACACUAUUUGUGUACUUUUCUUUAGAUGCUUACCUUUUUUUUUUUUUUUGCUAACCAUAUGAUUCCAUUUAUAUAAAGUUCAUGAAAAGGUAAAACAAACUCAUUGAUGGAAAUCAGGACACUGACUGCCUUUCAGGGACCAGUGGGGGACACUUGACAGAACAGUGGCUUAAGGGAAGCUUCCAUCAUGGUAGAAACCCAUAUCUUAUUUUUUAAACAAUAAAUUUUAGGGGGUAUCAUUGUGGCACAGCGCAUUAAGCUUCCACUUGUGACACCAGCAUUGAGUCCCAGCUGCUCUGCUUCCAAUCCAACUCCCUGCUAAUGUGCCUGGGAGUGCAGCAGGUAAUGGCCCAAGUACUUAGACCUCUGCCACCCACUUGGGAGACCUGAAUUGAGUUUCCAGCUCCUGGCUUUGGCCUGGCCCAGCACUGGCUGAUACAGCCAUUUGUGGAGUGAACCAUUGAAAGGAAGAUCUCUCUUUCUCUCUCUCUCUCUUUUUUUUGACAGGCAGAGUGGAUAGUGAGAGAGAGAGACAGAGAGAAAGGUCUUCCUUUGCCGUUGGUUCACCCUCCAAUGGCCGCCGCGGCCAGUGCGCUGCAGCCGGCGCACCGCGCUGAUCCAAUGGCAGGAGCCAGGUACUUCUCCUGGUCUCCCAUGGGGUGCAGGGCCCAAGCACUUGGGCCAUCCUCCACUGCACUCCCUGGCCACAGCAGAGAGCUGGCCUGGAAGAGGGGCAACUGGGACAGAAUCCGGUGCCCCAACCGGGACUAGAACCUGGUGUGCCGGCGCUGCAAGGCAGAGGAUUAGCCUAGUGAGCCGCGGCACCAGCCCUCUCUUUUUUUGUCUCUCUCUGUAUACCCCUCUCUCUGUCACUGUUCUUUUCCAAUAAAUAAAUAAAUCUCUUAAAAUUAAUGAAUUUUUAAAAUCAAUAUGAUAAUUACCCUGAUUUGAUCAUUACACAAUGCAUACAUGUAUGGAAACAUCACAUUGGGCCAAGUAAAUAUGUAUAAUUAUUAGAUGGUUAUCAUUUUUAAUCAAAUAGCUUCAUGGUCAACCACUAAAACCUCUGUGACCACACCAAAGUGACAAAGUCAAUCAACCCUCCCUUGGCCCAUCUGCCCUAAAGGAACAAAGAUCUUGUCUUCUGGGGAUGAUUUCGUGAAUCCCAAGUCAUCCUGGCAAGGAGGCCACUAGAGAGGACUCAGAGGGCACUUUUUUGGCAGCAGCAGUAUUUCUGUGGCUGAUCUCUUUUAACACACAAAAGCUCAUGGCUAAUAGAUGUGUCAGAGCUUUCUGGAAGCACGUCCUGCCAUAUGUGUGUUCUGCAGCUCUCACAAAAAAAAAGAAAAGAAAAGAAAAUAAGAGAAGAAAAGAAAAGAAAAUCAGUCUUAUGUGGCUUCCAAGAAAAAGGUUUUUUUUUCUCCUUUUUGUUUGUCACUCAUCUGAAUCUCAGAAUCAGCCAGGAGCAGGGGAGCAGAUGACUUUUGAAAGAAUUGUCGCCCUCUUCCCACAUAUUCAGACACCAGCAUGUGCAGAAGAGAAAGUACUGUUUGUCUUACUGGGUCACAGUUGGGACCUUUCACUGAACUGGAGUAUCCUGUGUUGUAGCCAAUAUUAUGACGUCAAGUUGCCCCCAGUGAUAAGCCUCAAAAACUGGAUUGACAGAACUCUGCUCUGGUAGAAUAGAGAUUAUCCCAGAAAGAUAAGAAACCACUGUACCCCACACGAAAGAUGUGAGUGAUUUAAAAAUACAUACUCCUAUAUAACAGAUGCAUGUAAGUAGUAUCCAUGUAUGCACACACAUACAUGCACACACAUGCACACACAUACUCUCAAACACACACCAUGCCUAAUGCAGAGGUUGUAGAUAGAGGCUCGUUGCUCAGCUACAUCAUGAGUGUAAUGUCUAUUUAUACUCCUUCCUGCUUGGCUGGGUAAGUCUCAUUUGUCUUCUUAACCAUCUUGAAAACAGAUUUGGCCUCUUUCUGAGUUAAAGUUUUUGAACUUUUUAGUACCUCCGUAUAAAUCAACUGACCAACUUCCAAAGACAGUUUCAUCUUCGGGGGGAAGGAAAAGGAAUACACAGAAACGUGGGGAGGCCGGGAGGGUUUCCCGGGGCCUGUGGCUCAGCGUUAGCUCAGUUCUGAGAAUGCACAUUUAGGAAACAAGCAAUGCGCCAGAUGGGCCACUGUGGCUUCCUCUUCUUUCUCCUGUUUUCUUGAGGUCCACUGUCUUUGGAAUGAACAUCUGCCUGUCUCAGGGGACUGUGAAAUGAGCAAAAACAGAGCCAUAGUGACAACAGGAGGAGAUUUGGAGUUAAUACGUCUUUGGAGCCAAAACAUUCAGCUUCAUUAAGCAUAAUCUGAUUAACACUGGAUGUAAUUUAAUGAGGAUGUGGACAAAGGAGGGAAAAAAUAAAGUUCCUCAUUGUGAAGGAAAGAUCACUCCAUGUUAGACUCUGGAACUAAGAUUAUGAGGGAAACUUUGGAAACUUGUAUGAGCCAAGGAGAUUUCUUAGAUUUGUCUUCUAUUUCCACACACAGACUUACUCAGUGAUAUAAAACAACUAUGGAAUUUAAUGCAAACUGCUACAUUUGGCUUCUACUGAAAAACAAGUUCAAGUCCUACACUCUUUCUAAGAUUUUAUUUAUUUAUCUGAGAGGUAGAGUUAUAGAGAAUGAGAGGGAAAUUCAGAGAAAGGUCUUCCAUCUGCUGGUUCAUUCCCCAAAUGGCUGCAACAGCCUGAGCUGAGCUGAUCUGAAACCAGGAACCAGGAGGUUCCUCCAUGUUUCCCACGCAGGUACAAGAACCCAAGCAUUUGGGCCAUCCUCUACUGCUUUCCCAGGCCAUAGCAGAGAGCUGGAUUGAAGAGGAGCAGCUGGGACUUGAACCGGUGCCCAUAAGGGAUGACGGCACAGGAGGUGAAGGAUUAAUCCACUGUACCACAAUGCCAGCCCCCAAAUCCUACACUCUUGACAUAUAAAAUAUGAGGUCUGAUUACAAGCUAAAUAUAAAAAAUUUCCUCUUCCUCCUCCUCCUUCUUCCUUCUGCUUCUCCUUUUUUUAAAAAAUUUAUCCUGUAAAUAUUUAUUGGGAGCUUAAUAGGUACCAGCUACUUUGCCAGGCACUGAGAAUUCAAAGACAAGUAAGACUCAGUCCGGCCAUGGCCUCGAGGAGGAAGGGGAAGUCAGACAAGGACUCAUAUAAGGUCAUUGAAGACCAAGUUCCAGGAAAGGACUCUUGCAGACUUUUCCAUAGAUUUGAGAGUUGGGGUUCCCCAAGAGAGUGAUCCAAGAGACACAGCAAGCGAGACGGAAGCUACAGUCUUUUAUAACUUGUCUCAGAAGUGGCAUACUGUCACAUGUGCCGUAUUCUGUUGCUCUUACAUGGCAGCUCUGGAGCAAUGUGGGCGGGACCAACACAGAGAAUGAGUGCCAGGAUUGACGGCUCGCUGGGAUCCAUCUGGGAGACUGGUAACCACGGUUCUCUAGAGACAGACAGAGGCCAGGAGUUGAAUAAGACAGUACCGAUUUUUUAUUAAUGGAGCCACCACCCAAGAACCUCAUUUCAAGUUUAAAUUGAAAACUAACAGAAGCCUGUGGUUUAGGUUUCGAGACCUAUGCAGAACCUGCUAUUCCUUCCCAAAAUUGUAUCUUGGAGUUUUACAAGAAUGUGUGGAGGCAAGGUGACAAAGUGACAGAGAACAUGUGAUUUAUUUUUCAAUAGAUACUUGCUUGGAGGAGGUGGAUAGUAAGAGAGAAGGCUAAGUCUGUUUGUUUGUCCAACUGCUGCCAACAGGAAAGAAAGCCAACCAUUUCUAGGUAUGGCAACCCGCCUGCUAAUUACAAGUUUCUAUCUCUAGUGACCAAUCAGAUCAGCAACUCCUUUGACCUUGGCGUCAGGGUAGGAAGGCUAGGAGGAGGUAAGAAAUCAUUAAAAAUUCCUUUCUCCUGUACAGAGCCUCUGAUCACUCGCGUAUUCAGAGGAGGAAGUGGGAGCUACAGAGUGGUCAACUGAAGUUUAGCGAGGCCUGUUUCCAAGAAGCCAGGAAUGAAAAUCCCAACUUUGAAAUUCAGCCACAGUGGUCACAUCAGGUCAAAGACACACAAUUGCCGCUGAACUUGUGAUGAACUCCAAAUUUAUUUUCUAGGCAUUUCUUCUAUGCCACAGGCAUGUAGAUCAUAAAUUAAUAUAACUAAAGAUACACACUGAAGGAAAAGACACAUGAGAAGGAAGUUGGAGUCGUUUAUUGCUGCCUGCUCUUCGCAGAGGUAAGAAAACACACUACUAGUUAAUGGUUGGGAAUGGAGCCAAGGUCAUUUUUACCCCAGUUUGGUGCUUUUUUGUCUGCGGUACUGGGAUGGGUUACUAAAUAUAAUUAUUUUUCUUUAAUGAAAAUACUCGAGUUUGGGAACUUUUUAAAAGAAAAAGUUUGUUUAGCUCGCAGAUCUGGAGGUUGCAGGACAUGCCUCUGGCGCUGGCUCGGGUUUGGGAAUGGUCUCAGGCAGAGGGCGCACGAGGGCAGGGGUGUGUCCUGGAGCGAGACAGACACCGGCCCGUGACUCGGGGGUCUGGCUCACCCCGCAACAGUUCACUCUCUGGAGAACUAACCCAGGGUCCCCUAAAACUACCUGAAUCCCUUCUGAGGGGAGUGCUUCUAAUCACCUAAGAACCUCCACUAAGUUCCACCACUGAGAAGCCCAAAUAAAUUUUAUUUUUAAAAGAGGGGGUGCUGUGGUGUAGUGGGUAAAGCUGCCGCCUGUAGUGCCAGCAUCUCAUGUGGGCACCGGUUUGAGUCUUGGCUGCUCAACUUCUGAUCCAGCUCUCUGCUAUGGCCUGGGAAAACAGUAGAAGAUGGCCCAAGCCCUUGGGCCCCUGCAUCCAUGUGUGAGACCCAGAAGAAGCUCCUGGCUCCUGCCUUUGAAUCGGCACAGCUCCAGCCAUUGCAGCCAACUGGGGAGUGAACCAGCAGAUGGAAGACCUCUCUCUCUCUCUCUCUCUCUCUCUCUCUCUCUCUCUCUCUGCCUCUCCUUCUCUCUGUGUGUAACUCUGACUUUCAAGUAAAAUUAAAUAAAUCUUAAAAAAAAAAAAAAAAAAAGAGGUGGUGGUGUUGGGGAGGGAAUUUGGUGCAGCAGUAAAGACACUCAGAAUGCCACAUCCCUUACCAGAUACCUGGGUCCAAGGCUCGGGUCCACUUCCUAUUCCAGCUUUCUGCUAUCAUGCAUCCUUGGAGGUAGCAGGUGAUUCCACCCAUGUGGGAGAGCUGGACUGAGUUGAGUUCCAAGUUCCUGGCUUCUACCUGGACCAGCUCUCACUGUUGUGGCCAUGUAGAGUGAGCUAGUAGGUGGAAUCUCUCUCUCUCUCUUUCUCUCUCUCUUUCUAUUUCAAACACAUAAAACAAAUGAAUUUAAGACAUUUUGCUAAACAAAAAAUUCCAGCCAUCUCCCAUCAAGUGCGCACUGAGGACCAAGUUUCCAACAUGUGAAACUUUGAAGGACACCCUUAAACCACAUCCAAACCAGAGCCCUGAGUGCGUGCUCACUCUGAGAGCCCGUGGAAUCUUCCUCUUGCCCAUCUGCAUGAUAGGCUGAAGCGUGUGACCAAAAGACCACCAGUCUUAGAGCCAGUAGCUCCAGGUGAAGCUCCAGCUCCAUCCUGCCUAAGCUUUUGUCAUCUGGGCACACGGGCCUCAGUUUCUUCUUCUGAAGAAUGGGUGUAGUAAUAUUUACCAACUCAUCAAGAUGCUUGUAAGGAUAAAAGGAGAGUCUAGCUGUAAAAGAUCUUGUAGAAUCCAAGAUGUUGGGCGAAGUUAAAAAGGCAGUCUUCAGAAAUCUGACUCAGUAAGACACCCAACUGCCAAGCUAAGAUCGCUGUGCCCCUAGCUUUUUACCUUUUACUUCCAGCUAGUAAGAUUGUGUUUCACUUGCUGGUAGUCCAGCUGAAUCCCUGACCCCAGUCAGUGUCUCUGUUUUCUUUGUGGGGCGAGGCUGCCGUGUACCCUUAUGACCGCAAAAGGAGCAGAUUCUGUGAAUGCUACUUCAGAGGAAAGAAGGAAACAGUUCAAUCAUCUCACAGGAGUCUUCCAGGAUUGGGCCCCUGGAGACUCCACGGGCAGUGCCUCAGCCAUUCGAGGAGAAACCGUCUUCCCUGGAGUGUCUUUUGUCCCCGGCUUCCCUGGGUUUCUAGCACUGGGUGUGGGACUGCCCGUGGGGGCUUGCAGGGCAGGCCAGGACCGCAGGGUGUGUGGCGAAGCCACAGUGACAGCUGCAUCUGUGCUCCCGCAGUGGGUACCUGCUCGCUGUGCUCGGCCCCUCCAUGAGGAAGCACUUCAUCCGCUCCCAGAAAUCCCGCGUGCCUGUGACCUGCACGGCAAGGCCUGGAAGUUUGGCAGAAUCGAUAGGACUUCUCGCUGGGCUCGGCUACUUCAAAUGAGGAAAAAUAAGGAUGCCAAGGGUUAUGGCUUGUGAUACGCUCCCAUCAACAAGCUCUUUGGUCCUAACAACUGUGUGGUCCUGAGCCCCACGACAGAGGAGAAGCAGAGCUCGGAGCAGGGGCUGCUCUCAAGUCUCUGAGUGCAGUGCCCACCCUGUGGAGACCUUCCAAAGUCAGAGUCAGAGGUGGGGAAACUGAGGCCCACGGUGACGUACCGUGCACCCCAGCUCCCCUGGAAAGAAAGACUGAGCUGGCAUCGUCCUCUCCCUAACAUCACCCCAGAGCCCAUCUCUCUUCCUCUGCACCAGCGACUCUCAACCAAGGACCCUCUGGUCUUCCAGGGGGGUGUUUGGUACCAUCUGGGGCAUUUGGGGCUGUCACAGUGCAAGUGUGAGUGUGAGUGUGUGUGCACUCGUACAGAGGGGUGCUAGUGGCAUUUAGCGGGUGGAGGCUAGGCACACUGCUAAAUGCCACCCCCCCCCCAAAGCAACAGACAGCCCUGAACAAAGCAGCAUCGCACCGGAGCGGCAGGAGGACUGAGGUUUGAAAAGUCCUGGUUGUUGCUCAGCAUCAGAGGGAAAUUCCAUCCUCCAGCUGUUGCCAAGAGCUCCUCUGCCCAGCAACAGGCUUGGCCGCUCUCCCGGGGCGGCCACGAGAGUUAAGCCGCCGUCUCAGUGGCCAGGCAUCCCUGCAGAGUUUACUGUGGGCCACACCAUGCAUCCGCCGGGGGCCGAUGUGUUGUAUAAUUUAUAGUCACAGGGUGCCUGUCUUCAUUUAGCAGCAAGCCUGCUGGCAGGAAGCUAGUUCCGCAGAGGCCCGCAGCCCCCGCCGGCUGACAGCCGAGGUAUUUGGGGAUGGCGUGGCUCAGAGGCACCUGGGAACAGGCCGGGGGCCGAGAUGGCGCUGGGCACGCGGCCUCCGCUUCAGACCCAUCCGUCUGCCAGAAGAUGGCCUAUUGAACAUUUCCAGGAAUAGCACUGCCAACCCCGUCAACUGCUUUCUUGGAAAUGCACUCAAUAAGCAUGGCCGGCCUCCAGCAGGCAGAGCAGAAAUCACGGCCUGGAAGCGCCGGUGCAGGCCUGGGGCGCCAGGGCCCAGCUCCCAGGCCUGUGUCCCCGGCUGCCACUUGGAGAUGUUCUCGGUGAGGAAGGGGAGGCCCUGGCCCCUUGACCUUCACACACUAGCCCUGUCCGCUCAGAUGCCAGCAGGCAGCAGGGCGGCCUUGGUUUGGGUGCCAGGUAUGAACUGUCAGCAGUGGGACACCUCGGUGUCCCCUGGGGGAUUGGAAUCGCUCCUUCUCUUGUGAGUUUCCUUCCCUCUGGAACCAAAGGAGCCUCAGAAAGGACAGGGAGGGUGUUCUUCUCCCCCCACCCCCAGUCAUUGUGAGGACGUAGCAAAUGCGAAGCGAAGCUAUGAUAUGGAAGAAAGCUCUAAGGUCUAAUUCAUCCUCCCCGUGCCCUGUCGCCAGAGUGCCAGCGGCCUUCGCAGAAAGCCUCCCUCAGGAGGUAGGCAUUAGGCAAAAGCAGGAGACCCAAACCCCCUGCUGUGUGGGGUGUUCAGGAAGUGCAGUUCGUCAUGGUCUGAAAGCCCGCCAGUCACCACGUGUAGCUCGGAGCAACACCUAAUCCAGGAAGAACCUGCAGCCAAGGGAGGAGGAGGAGGAGAGGGGGAGGGGGGAGGAGGGAAAAGAGAGAAAGAGAAAACGGAGAAGAGCAAAUCUCAGGGAAAGGGAAAGAGCAGGAGAGAGAGGAGCAUGUUUCUUAUGUUUUUAUUUGUUUAUUUACUUUUACCUAUCUGAAAGAGAUCUCCCAUCUACCGGUUCACUCCCCAAAUGCCCAUGGCAGUCAGAGUGGUGGAAGGCCAAAGCCAGGAGCCAGGAACUCAGUCCAGGUCUCCCACAUGGGUAACAAGAGCCCAGGGACUUGAGCCAUCGUGGGCUGCCUGCCGGGGCGUACGGAGGCUGGGAGCUGGGGUGAGGAGUGGAGCCGGGACUGAGCCCAGGGCAUCCAGACACGGGGUGCAGGUGUCUCGAGCUGCGGCCUAACUGCGGCAGCAAACACCCAGCCCAGGAGCACUUCUAAAGGACUUGGUAAGUCAUGGCUGCUUCCUUGCAAACACUGCUUAGUCGGAGGACUGACCACCCUUCCUGGGUCUUCUGUCUGGUGCAAACCACAGUGGGCACCAGGGAGAAACGGGCCCACUUCUCUGGGUCCACUGGAACAGGGUGGUUACAUGAAGUUUAUAAGAAACUAUUGUUUGGUCUGAAAUCUGCACUAGUCCCAGCAGACCAAACCAGACCAGAAUGGAGUCACUCCUGCACAGUGCAGUCUAAUCAGACUGAAUUUUAAAAUGGGUCAGCCCGGCGCUGUGGCGUAGCGAGUAAAGCCGCCUGCAGUGCCGGCAUCCCAUAUGGGCGCCAAUUGGAGUGCCAGCUGCUCCACUUCCAAUCCAGCUCUCUGCUAUGGCCUGGGGAAGCAGUAGAAGAUGGCCCAAGUCCUUGGGCCCCUGCACCACAUGGGAGAGCCGGAAGAAGCUCCUGGCUCCUGGCUUCAGAUGGGCCCAGCUCCGGCCAUUGCGGCCAAUUGGGGAGUGAACCAGCGGAUGGAAGACCUCUCUCUUUCACUCUCUAUCUCUGCCUCUCUGUAAUUCUGCCUUUCAAAUAAACAAAUAAAUAUUAAAAAUAAAAUAAAAUAAAAUGGGCCAGCUUUCAAAAGCCAGGAGAUUUAUUGCACCCAAUAGAAAGAGGCCCUGUCUGGUAAGGAAUUCAUUGCUCCUGUAGACAAAAUAACUUUGAAAGAACCAAUCUGCUUCCUAUUCCUUGUUCUGCUUUCCUACCUGGGAAGCCCACCCUGCCUGCCCAAUUCAUGAAUUGCAAAUAAAAGGCAAUUCCAUCUUCAUACUCAGUUUGUUGAGGGUUUGUUCUUUGACUGGGUGAGACCAAAUCUAAGGCAGUAUCCAACUGCAGGUCUGAAGGCUCCUUCUACCCACCCCACCUCACUCAAGACACACGUAGCUGUCAUCCAUGGGUUGUGGAUUUUCUUUUUCUUUUCUUUCUUUUUUUUUUUUUUUUUUUUUUUUUUUUGACAGGCAGAGUGGACAGUGAGAGAGAGAGACAGAGAGAAAGGUCUUCCUUUGCCGUUGGUUCACCCUCCAAUGGCUGCUGUGGCUGGCGCACCGCGCUGCUCUGAAGGCAGGAGCCAGGUACUUAUCCUGGUCUCCUAUGGGGUGCAGGGCCCAAGGACUUGGGCCAUCCUCCACUGCACUCCCGGGCCACAGCAGAGAGCUGGCCUGGAAGAGGGGCAACUGGGACAGAAUCCGUCGCCCUGACCGGGACUAGAACCCGGGGUGCCGGCGCCACAAGGUGGAGGAUUAGCCUGUUGAGCCACAGCGCCAGCCUGAAUUGCGGAUUUUCAAAGAAUCGGAAUCUAAGCCGUGAAAUGGAUUUGGCUGCUGUUUUUCUGGGAGAUGUUUUGCUGUUGAGGACGAUGUAGAAAUGCUUCAGUACUCCUUGUGCCUCGGGGUCAAUGUGGUGAAAAGCAGGAGUCACUGCCGGAUCCGAUGUGCAGACAGCAGGACUUUCUUGAACUGUAAACACCCUUGUUCCCUAACAGUGGGAGGUCAGGGUGGCCUAAGCCAUGCAGAGCCUUGAUAGCCUUCCAUGGAGCAGGGUCGGGGGCUGGGUCUCUGGAAGAAAAGCCUGGAGCAGCUAGGCUUGCCGCCACUGUGUGUCCCGAAGAGUUGGUGACCUGGGCUGCAGAGCAGGUCUCCCAAGAAGAGCCUCGUGCAGAGCACAGCAGAAGUUCGAGCUGUCCACCCGGGACACUGCCAUCACACUGUGACCCUGACUGUGAAAACUUCAGCUUUGUCUCGAAGGCGGCAUCCCUGACUCCGUGGCUCGCUAGCCAUGUGACUUUGGGCAAGUUACUUAAUUUCUCAAUGCACCUGCAUCAUCUGUGUCCAAUUGGGAUAAAAAUAGGAUUCAUGGAGUUGCUGGGAGAUCUGAUGAGUUGCUAAGUGGGAAACACUUAGAAGCACGCCUGGCACGCGGUGACACUGUUUAAACCCUAGCACUAUCAGUGUUAUUAUUCUUCCCAUCCUUGUUGCUUCAGUUAUUUACAAGAUUCUGUGGCUUGAGGAGACAUCAACACUGCUUGUGGGAAGACACAGUGAGGGAAGCUGCUCCUUCUGCUCGUGCCUUCCGUUCACAAGUGAACCACCCUGCUUCAUUCAGGUGGAAGCAGACCAGGAAAUGGGUAUCCUGGACAGGGAGUGAGCUGUGGGGAGCCCUGGCCGUGAGGGAAUCUGCUGGUCCUUCACAUCCUUCAAGGCUCUGCUUGUUGAAGUUAAGUCUCUCAAUGAACAUCAUAAUAACAGAUAACACGUUCAACCAUCACUGCAUGUCAGGCAUUGGCCCAGCAGUUUCCAUAUCUUCCUUGACCUUCAGCUAAAAUUGUUGCCUUUGUUUUCACCAGAAGGGAAUAACUCAGUUCUUCCUGGUCAGUAAGAGGGGAGAGAGCUGAGUUUCAAACCCAGCAGACUAGCAAUGCCCUAGCCUGAGCUUGCAGAUUCUAUGUGGACACUUCUAUGUGUUUGUUUCAUAGUCUUUGUGGCUCAUACAUGGGUCAUUAUCCAGGCAGCAUUACAAUUUUUUAAAUAUUUAUCUGAGAGGUAUAUUUGGAGAGAGAGAGAGAGUUCCCAUUCACUGGUUCUUGUUCAUUCUCCAAGUGCUUGUGAUAGUCCCUGACUGGUGACCAGAACCAGAAACUUGAAAUCAAUCUAGACUUUCCAAAUGGGUUGCCAAGACCCAGUCACUUGAGCCAUCAGCACUGUCUCCCAGGGCCCCCAGCAGCAGGAUACUGGAGUCAGGAGCAGAGCUGGACACUGAACCCAGGAUGUGGACAUCUUGACUGACAUCUCAACUGCCAGGCCAAAUGCCCACCCUGCUUUCUGGAAUGUUUUCAACCCAAAGUUGGUUGAACUCAUGGAUAUGGAGAGCUGACUGUACCUGUUAAGAUUCCUGUGUCCCAUGUUGGAAUACUUGGAUUUGAAACCUGGCUUCACUCUUGACUCCAGCUUCCUGCUAAUGCAAACCCUAGGAGGCCACACCGACAGCUCAAGUGAUUGGGUUCCUGUUAUUCAUGUGGGAGAUCUGCAUUGAGUGAGUCUCUGGCUUCGAAACUGCCUGUCCCAGGGCCAUUUUGGGCACUUGGAGGAUGAACCAGUGGACAGGAACGCUCUCUCUCUCCCUCUCGCUCUCUGUCAACCUCUCAAAUAAUGUUAAACAAAGUAUUAGAAAAUGUUGUAUAUAUACUGAACAUGAAAAGACUUUUCUUGUCAUCAUUCCCAUAACUGUCAAACAAGACAGCAUAACAACUAUUUACAUAGCGUUUGUGUUGUAUUAGGUAUUAUAGGGAAUCUAGAGAUGAUGUAAGUAUAUGGGAGGGUGUGUGUGGGUCAGACGCAAAUCCUACAGUAUCUUACAUAAGGGACUUGAGUGUCUGCAGAUUUUAUGGUUACCUGUAAACAAGGUACAGGAGCUUCCUUAAAUCCUACCACUCAUCCUUAAGGAAAGAAUUACCCAAGAGAUUGCGUUUUUCUGAAUUUAUUCUCUACCUCUACUUGUUGGUGGUGACUAUGAGUCAGGCUAUACGGGUGAGACUUGAUGAUGGUGCGGUAGCCUUGAAAUCUCAGUGAUUUUUCACAACACAGAGGAUUCCUUUUCCCUUGCAGAAGGUCUAGGAAAGUUUUCUGUUUGUUUGUUUACCAUAUUUUGACUAUGGGAUCCAGGCUGCCUCUACCCACAGAUCAUGACAGGCACUGUGAGGUCACCCGCAAAGGAGCUGGGGGUGGUGGAGGAGGCUGCCCUGCCAAUUUCAAAGAGGAUGCUGGGGAGGGCCUUCUUGAGAAUGUGACCUUCGGCAGACGCUGAAAGAAUAUGCGAGAUCUUUGGAGGGGUGGAAAGUCUUCUGUGAACAGGAAGUAGCCUUGUGCAAAGGCCCUGAGGCAGGCGAGUGUCUGGCAUGUUGCCGUUCCGUGAAAAUGUCAAUGUGGGCCUGCGCCGCGGCUCACUAGGCUAAUCCUCCGCCUGCGGCGCCGGCAUACCGGGUUCUAGUCCUGGUCGGGGCGCCGGAUGCUGUCCCGGUUGCCCCUCUUCCAGGCCAGCUCUCUGCUGUGGCCAGGGAGUGCAGUGGAGGAUGGCCCAAGUGCUUGGGCCCUGCACCCCAUGGGAGACCAGGAAAAGCACCUGGCUCCUGCCAUCGGAUCAGCGCGGUGCGCCAGCCGCUGGAGGGUGAACCAACGGCAAAGGAAGACCUUUCUCUCUGUCUCUCUCUCUCUCUCUCACUGUCUAACUCUGCCUGUCAAAAAAAAAAAAAAUGUCAAUGUGGCUGAGAAGGAGGGUGACAGGAGGCGAAAUCAGGAAGCAGAUAAGUAUGGCAUGCACGGGCCCUGGAGCGUCCGGUAGCCUGGGCAAGGACUGUGAGUUUUGCCCCAGUUUAAAAACCUUCAUUGUGUCCCCCACCUGCCAGCACACUUACCAUGCUUCUCUCAGCUCCUCUGCAGCAGUGGAUUUCAAACGUGAGCAGCGCCAGAGUCACCAGGCUGUUAAAUCCAACUGCUGUGGUUCACUUCCAGAGUUUCCGCACUGGGGCCCAUGAAUCUGUGAUUCUAUCAGGAUCCUCGGUGCUAGAGUCUGAGUGUUCAUGUCCCCCUAUCCCCACCCCCAGGAUUGAGAUGUGGGAACCUAAUCCCCUAUAUGAUGGUAGCAGGAGGUGGGCCCUGCUCUCACGAAUGGAAUCAGUACCCUGCAAAAGAAGUCCCGUGAGGGCUGGCUGCCUUGCCGCCUCCCACCAUGUGAAUGUGCAGCAAGAACCAGGACGAGGGCCCUCACCGGACACCAAACCUGCUGCUCCUUGAUCAUAGACUUCCCAGCUUUCAGAACUGUGAACCGUAAGUGACUUUAAGCAGCAGGUCCUUAGAUUUUGUUCCAGCAGCCUGAGCGGCCCAGGAAGCAAGUGACGCUGGUGCUCCUGGCAUGGAGACCACACUUGGAGAGCCCCUGAUGUAGAGACAAGCUACACUUGUGCUUUCCCACUUCCCCAGGAAAACCUGCCCUGGUUCCUGGACAGGGCCACUGGGCCACUGCUAUGAUUGGGAUGCAGUUGGUGCCCCUACAAAGGUGCAUGGGCUGGAAGCUUGGUCCCUAGUGGUGGGAUCUUUAAAAGAUGGAGCCUGGUAAAUGAUGGGUAGGUCAGGGGGUACCACCCUCAGAAAGGAUUAAUACUGGCCUUUUGCAGUUAGUGCUUGCAAGCGUCACAUGUACACGUGGCUGUUUCAUUUCCUGCUUCUCUGUCAUUCUGUGAUGUGACCAGAUGGGGCCUAACCAGAGGCUGGACAGCCGGGACCACCUAAUGUUGGACUUUUAGACUCCCAAACUGUGAGCUAGGAGUGGACGUUUGUCACAGUGGCUAAGACAUCGCUUAGAAUGCCUGCAUCCCCCAUUGGAGUGCCUGGGUUCGAGUCGCUUCUGACUCCAGCUUCCUGCUAAUGUGCACCCUGGGAGGCAGCAGCUAAUGGCUCAGGCAGUUGGGUCCCUGCCACCUACAUGAGAGACUCAGAUCAAAUGCUGGGCUCCUGGCUUUAGCUUGGCCCAGCUCCAGCUGUUAUGGGCACUUGGGGAAUGAACCAACAGAGGGAAAAUCUCUUUCUGUUUCUGUAUCUUUCUAUGCCUUUCAAGUAAGUGAAAAUAAAAUUUAAAAAGUAGCUGGAAACUAAAUAAGCCUCCUUUCUUUGUAAUAUACCCGGUAGCUGAUACUCUGUUGCAGCCAGAUUCCUAAUUUGCAGGGCUUAGUCAAAAGGAAGAGGCAGCUCCUUAUUCCAAAAACAGGAGUAAGAGAGUAAUUAAAGGGACUAAAAUAUAAAGAUUUUCCUUUUAAAAUAUUUUAUGAUUUAUUUUCUUACUUAAAAAAAGAGUGAUAGUGAUAUCCAUCAUCUCGUACAGUGGCCCUUUAUUUUUGCAAUCAGAAUACCUAAAACCUACUCCCACCAAAUUUCCAGCCUACAAUACAGUCUUAGUUAACUGUGUCUUCAUGCUAAUGCCUGAAAUUCAUUAAUCCUACACGACUGUAGCUUUGGACUUGUUGACCUACAUCUUCCCAUUUCCUCUGGAAACCACCUUCUACUCUUCGUUUUCUAUGUAGUUGAUUCUCUUCUGUUUGCUUCCUGUCUUGUAAUAAAGUUUUAUUGGAACACAUCGACACUCAUUUGUUUACAUGCUGUCUAUGGCUGCUUUCCCACUGCAGUGGCAGGGCUGAGUAGUGGGACAAGGAAUGUUUGGCUCACAAAGCCUAAAACGCCUGCUAUCAGGCCCUCUACUGAAAGAUUGUGGACACUUGGCCCUGGACUCUCAGGUCCUGGACUGUCCUGUCCAGUGCUCUUUUGUGUUCUUGAUAUCUGGAGCAGUGCCUGGCAUAUGGAAAAUGCUCAUCAACACUUGUUGAAAAAAAAAGGUGAAUGCAUGAGAAUUUGGCAUUUUUGAAGAACUUAUUUAAUGGAAAGAAAAUCAUAGAAAUCUUAUGUUUGACCUUAUUUUUGUGCUGUUUUAGCAUAAAACAUGUUUAAAAUUCCUUACCUUACUAGGAAAUUGACUCUCCAAGGAAGCGUGAGGUUUGUAUUGUGACUUGGUGCAUCUGCUGGCACACUGCCACGCGUCUCAGACUGGAGGAGCACAGGCGCUAAAUCUGGGCAUUUGCCCUUCAGUAGAUGUUUACGGAGCAAAGCAUGGGCUUUGUGUGUGUGAUGGCAGUGGUUCCACUGUGCCUCACCCAGGAGACCUCUACAGAGUUCAUAGGCCAAAGAGAAGAAAACCUUGCAAGUAUAUAAUAUGUAAAAAUACCGAACUACGUGGUAAAGUUUCAAUUGCAGAAGAAAAGUUACUGGAGCAGGUGCUGUGGGCUUUCAGAGCCAGGACAGAUUCAUUUCAGCUGUGGAAUCGGGAAAGGCUGCUUGCCAGUCGUUCUCGGAUCUCAGUUCCUACCCUACUGCUUUGCUCUGCGUAGCGAAGACCUGUCCCCUGGCUGCCCUAUAGUUGUCUUCUACACUUCACCAGUGGGAGGUUAUGGGGGAGAGAUUGGAGGGCUGGAAGGCGGGAGGAACCAGGGUAUUUCUCCUUCUCUGUGAACCUCAGUUUUCUCACCUGUACAAUGGGGGGAAAAAACCUAGUGUAUAUUUCACAGGGUUUUUAUGAGAACUAAAUAAGACAUGCAAUAUGUUUAAUACAGAACCUGAUACAGGAGUAUGAUAAGCAGUCAAAGGAUAGAGCUGUUGUUGCUAUUGACCUUGCUCAGGUAAGUGGGAAGAGUGCAGUGAUCACUUAGUGAUGUCCACUAAGAGUGAAGUUUUGGAGAGUAGUCCCAUGUGAGAGAAAUAUCUACCAACCCUGAUAUUCUGCAACCGUAUUAUGGAGACUGAAUUGCUAGGACUUGGCAAAUGGGUUGACAGACUGUAGCAACAGGUUAGGAGGAAUCAAAAAACAGGGUCAAUGAUACCAAAAGCACAGAUAGUCAACACGUGAGAAAGAAUAGACUUGGAAGAGAUGGUUAUGAAGUCAUUUUUAGACAAUGCUGUUGAUCUUUGGGCUGCAAACAAGAAAACACAAUGAUAUACUCAGGACACUUCAGCAAGGAGGGUUUCUGACAGAGAUGCACAAAUGUGCAGAGAGUUAGCCAAGACAAACAUCUCAGCAGCCACACAGCCAGGCCUCAUGCGGAACUGGAAAGCUACCCCCAGAAACCAUAGCAACUCCAGUUACUGGAGCCUGGUUGCUUCUGAAGAGGAGAAACGAUUGUUCUUAGCAACUUUGCCUCACUCAAAAACUUUCUGUUCCCUCUUCUCCCCUCUUCCUGGUUUCUCCCUCCCUGCCUCUGUUUCUGAAGUCUUCUUCUCUGUGUCUUGCAUCCAAGAUGAUCGAACUGGGUGAUCAGCCCCCAGUAGGAAGCUUUCCAAUGGGAUCACGCUCCCAGGUCAGGUCGGACUCCCUAAGAGUUCCCUUAGGUGCAGCCUAGUUGGGUGCCUCUGUCUUGGCACAGCGGUUGUGCUCAGCACAGAAGUCACUGGAUGCAGAGUGACAAUGCCACCGUUCUCAGAAGGAGCUGUGCCAUCAGUUGAUUUCAUGGUCUGCUGUAUUUAUGGUGUAACAGAGACACAGUGGGAUCUCCACGAAGGUGAAAAGUGAGAUAGGGCUUCGAUUGGGAGCUCCAUGAGGCUAAAUAGGUAAGAAGGGGCUGGGAGGGGCUGGCAAUGUGGCUCAGCAGGUUAAGCUGCCGCCUGUGAUGCUGGGAUCCCAUGUGGGUGCUGGUUUGGGGCCUGAAUGUUCCACUUCCAAUCCAGCUCUGUGCUAAUGGCCUGGGAAAGCAGCGGAGGAUGGCCCAAGGAUUUGGGACCCUGUACCCACAUGGGAGACCCAGAAGAAAAUCCUGGCACCUGGCUUCGGCCCCCAAAAGGAAGAGGUUGUGGUUAAGGGAACAUUGAGGAUACUGCAGUAUUUCUGACAUUUUGUAUAAAUUUGCUGAUGCAAGAUCCAAACCCUUCCAAGAUUUAGGGCAAAGAAGCCAGAGAUUAUGAGCAGGAAGUUCUUAGAACAUACCCGGACGUUAGAUGAUUUCCACAGGCUAUACUGAUUUCUUAGGGGUGCAAAUUUGAAAUUGACUUGGAAGGGUGGGUCUUGUGGUGAGGUUGGAGUCUCCUUACAGCCUGGAGAGAGUGAAAUAUUCCACAGCUCAGCUAGAGAAAUAGGAGCAGCCAGGCCGGCGCCGCAGCUCACUAGGCUAAUCCUCCACCUGUGGCGCCGGCACACUGGGUUCUAGUCCCGGUCAGGGCACCGGAUUCUGUCCCGGUUGUCCCUCUUCCAGGCUAGCUCUGCUGUGUCCAGGGAGUGCAGUGGAGGAUGGCCCAAGUGCUUGGGCCCUGCACCCCAUAUUCCAAGGAUAGGUUGCUACAAGCUCACUUAUGUGGGUUUCUUUAAAAAUAAAGGGGGGAUGGCAAGUAAAAGCAAAACACUAACAUUUGGGAAAUCCAUCACUUAGAGAAACGGAGGGAAUGUAAGCAGCAGGUGCAUACUUGCUCUGAAAGUCCUAGAUGAGGACCUACGGGAAAACUCACCACAGCUGCAUGCAAGAGGUACUGUCUGCAUUUUUAAUCCUUGAGGGAGGAAUGCCCCAGCACUCGUAGAAUCAUUUAAACUCAAGAGUUACAAAUGCCACAGACAGCAUGGAAGGAGUGGAACAUUUUAAACAGGAAGCAUAGUCAUCAUCCCGCCCUCUAGCCACGCCCUCUACUACAGGAGGACCUGUGCAAUGCUAAUUCACAAGCACAUGCACUUUUUGUGGGACUGUCUUCAGUAGAUCUUGGGCUCAGCACACAGGCCUGUUGCAAGGGCUGAGGCUGCCCCAGCCCUUGGCCCCUGUGUGAACUGGCAAGUUACUGAGCUCGCUGGGUUUCAGUUUUCUCACCUGCGCAGUGGAGAUACUACUAGUACCUGCUGGAGGAUCAAAUGAGACAGCAUCCACAGAGUGCCUAGUCUGAUGCCUCCCACACCUUCAUUCAACUGUAACCGUUACGAUUUCCCAUCUUUAAAAUCAGAGAGUGCUGCAGCCAGGAAGACACCUCUUAGGAUGCCCGGAUAUCAGAGUGCCUAGGUUUGAGUCCUGGCUCUGCUCCUGAUUCCAGUUUCUUGCUAAUGCACACCCUGGGAGGCAGCAGUGAUGUUGCAAGUACUUAGGUCCCUGCUACCUACCCAUGUGGGAGACCCAGCUCAUGGCUCGGCCCAACCCUGGUUGCUGUGGGCAUUUCAAAUAUGUAAAAUAAAAAUAAAAUCAGGAAGCUUUGUAAUGGCAGUUUGCCUGAGAUGAUCAUAGUUCAAGUCCGUGUUUGUGUCUCCCAGUUUCCUUUCGCUGUUGUAGUGUGCGCAUGCGUCUGUCUCUCUUUCAAGCAGCUGCCCAAUUCCACCGGGUCCAAGGCGGAAGAAGUAACACACACACAACAGACGUUGAAAGAGCACCCAACACGUGCUCGGAGGACCGGCUCGUCCUAGGACUUGGGAAAACAAAGCGAUGGCAGCUGUUUCUAGAGAGGAGGCUGCAGUGCUCUGGCAAACAAAUUCCGUACAGCUGGGAAUUCUGUUUCUCAAGGCGGUUGCCUCGUGAGCGGAACUAUGUCUCCCCUCACCGCCAAUUCUCAGGUGAAAGCCUGAAGGUUAACUUCAGGGCCUCAGAAUGACUGCAUUUGGCGCUGAGUGCGUCAGAGGGAUGAUGAAGUCAAAAUCAUUUGUGCGGGCCUCAGGCCGGUCUGACUGAUUCCUUAUAAGAGGAGGAGACCCAGACACGCGAGAGGCAGACGCUGGGAGGAGAGACCGCGUGAGGAGGCCGCCAUCUGCAAGCCGAGAAGCGAUGCCUCUGGUGUAACCCACAGCUACAGACACCUUGAUCUUGAUCUUGGAUGCUAGCCUCCAGAACUGUGAGCAGACACAUUUCUGUUGUUUAGAGCACUCGGUCUGCGAUGGCAGCCCUAGAAAGCUAACCAGUUGCAUCACUCUUAACAGCUCGGAGGCAUGUUCAGGCUUGAACAGAAAGGAAACUUGAGCCACGCUUCGGGGUGCAUGAAGCUUAAAGGUGGUGUGGGAGGUAGAAUGAGCUGGACUCAAAAGUACAAGCAUCCUCUGAGUCCACGCUUAAGAAUUAUUACCUAGAGCAGCCAGAGCCAUGAAGACACAAUAGAGGCUGAUAGAGGGUGGGGGGGCAGUGCGGCGUUAUUGUUUCUUGAGGACAGCUGGGAAACUGUUGUGGAGAAGGAUUUUAGUGAUGUUUGCACAAGAAUGUCAAUGUGUUUAAUCUGCUGGACAUGUUUUAAUUUGAAAGCAAGAGAGACAAACGGAGGGAGAGAGUUGCCCCCCUACACACACAUACACACACACACACACACAGCCAAAGAUAGAAAUCGUCCAUUUGCUGGGCCAGGCUGAAGCCAGGAACUCCAUCCGGGUCUCCCACAUGGGUGAGGGGGACCCGAGUACUCAAGUCAUCACUUGCCUCCCAAGAUGGUUAUUAGCAGGAAUCAGGACUGGGAUUCAAACCUGGGUACUCGAAUAAGGGACACACGUGUCCCGGUUGGCAUCUUAACCACUAUGCCAUGUGCUCAGAGCGCAUUGAAACUUUUAAAGGUACUUAAAAAUGAUUACAAUGGGAGGCUUUAUGGGAUGGCUAUUGUACACAAUACAUUUUUAAGUAGUCUAUGGGGGCUCCCACUCUGCAUCAAGUUCCACCUCCCUGAACUCUUAGCUGAUUGAUUUUGCGGCAGAAAGGAAAAGGAUCGGAGGAGGAGGAGGAGGAGGAGGGAAGAAGGCAGAUGAGCCAGGACUUCCUGCCCUGUUCUGGGGGAGCACUGGCCCGCAUCUCCCUGGGCGAGUCCUGGUCCCACCUGCUCAAUGCACAGCAGCUGCAGACCCUCACUGCCCCUGUCGGUGACGACGAUUGAGAAUAUGAUUCCCACAUGCGACGCCCACGUCUUGAAGACUUUUUGUCUUAGGGCAUGUUCAUUUCCUAGCUUCUCUUGGGCCUUCUUAUCAUGUGCGGAAGUUUUUCCUCCACAGUAGCCAAAGCACGUUCCAGAUGCUUCCACAGCAAAACCCAUCAGAAGGCCUCCACGGCCGCCUCGAGUUUGCUGUAGUUCACCCAAGACCUGAGGUUUGUGCCCUUCCUGCUGAAGGGCUCCUGGAGACAUGGAGACAGGCCCACAUCCCCGCGUGUGGGAUUCCCAGGGGCUGGGGCAGGGACCAGUGGUGGUAGGAGAGAUCAAGUCCACUUCUUGGACAAGCCCUCAGAGAGCAUUUCUCCUUGGGAGAGGAUCCAACCAGAAACGAAUUGCUGAUAAGAAAGAGUAACUUUGCAGAAAGCCAUGGAAGAGUGUCCCACAGGCCAAGCUAGGAAAUUUGGGAGUCAAACAAUGAUGGAGGCAGGCAUUUGGCCAAGUAGUUAAGACACCCAAAUCCCCAAGCACCCAUGUCCUACUUGCCUGGCUCCAGCUCCCAACUCCAGCUUAUUACUAUUGUAGGCCCUUGGAGGCAGUGCUGAUGGCUUAACUAUUUGGGUCCCUGCUACCCACCUGAAUAGAUUUUUCUAGCUCCUGGCCACUGCCGGUAUUUGGGGGUGUGAACUAGGGGCUGGGCGCUUGUCCGUCUGUCUCAAACAAUGUAGAAACACACUGUAAAACAUUGACUAUAGUAGAAAGUCACGAGUCCAUGGAACUAAAUGAAUAACUUGAGAGUUUAAUGAAUAGGAUAUUGAAAUAUUUUAAACUAUUGCCCCACAAAAUCCUUAUUACAAAGAAUAACUUAGGUGGUAUAUCUUGCACGAGAAUUUUCGUAGAGAAUCUGGCAGAUGGUUCUUCUAGCAAGAGGUCAAAGGGGACCUUCUCGGUGGUGGGACAAGUUGAGCCCAGAUGCACCUGGUAGGAUACAGCAGGAGUACCCAUCAGCACCUAGGUGAUGGUCCUGCCAAAGACACACAGCCUCAGUCUAGUCAUGGAAACACACACGUGGACUUGGGGCCCUGGAUGACAAAGCCCCCAUGACACCUUCAAAAGUGCCAGGGACAUGAAAGACAUGAGAAGUAGUUCCAAACUGAAGGAAAUGCCAAGAUAGGCAACCAGCUGACUGCGACUUGGUUCUGGCCUGGAUCUUAGCUGUGCAUGACUGGGGUAACCGGCAUAACUCAGGUGGGAUCUGAGGAGUAGACAGCAAUGGUAUAAUGGCUUUUGUUUGUUUUUUUACUAGCUUUGAAGCCGGGAAGUGGUUUUAAAGGGACUUACUUUCCUUACCUGGCAGAAUCGCACAUAAUAGUAUAUGAUGGAGCCUCCAUUCAACAACUUACUCACUAGUGGGUUAGGGAAAAUAACCCAUUGCUCCUCUACUUUCCUUUAAGUGUCAUUUUGUUUCAAAAUUUAAAACUUGAAAAGGAAGGGGGGGAAUAGAAGGAAGAAUGGAUAGAAGCAGAACUCUGGAAAGAAGCCACGAUGGUCUCAGGUACAACCCGAGAUCUUCCUUGAACUUGAAUCGCCUCUCUGAAAACCCCUGUAGGGACUUGGGUGGGAGUGUGCUGAGGAGGUGGUGCAGGAAUCCACUGGAUGAGUUCGUCAUAACCUUGCUGUUCACGUAGAGGUGCUCGCAAUGACUUGAUGUGUCAUCUUUCAGGUGUGUAUGUGUAUACAUUUUUUAAAGAUUUCUUUAUUAGGCCGGCGCCAUGGCUCAAUAGGCUAAUCCUCCACCUGCGGUGCCAGCACACUGGGUUUUAGUCCCAGUCGGGGUGCCGGAUUCUGUCCCGGUUGCCCCUCUUCCAGGCCAGCUCUCUGCUGUGGCCAGGGAGUGCAGUGGAGGAUGGCCCAAGUGCUUGGGCCCUGCACCCCAUGGGAGACCAGGAUAAGUACCUGGCUCCUGCCAUCGGAUCAGUGCAGUGCGCCAGCCGCGGAGGCCAUUGGAGGGUGAACCAACGGCAAAAGGAAGACCUCUCUCUGUCUCUCUCUCUCACUGUCCACUCUGCCUGUCAAAAAAUCUUUUAUUUUUAAAUUUUUAUUUAUUAGAGUUACAUAGAAGGAGAGGCAGAGAGAGAGGUCUUCCAUCCGCUGGUUCACUCCCCAAAUGGCCACAAUAGCUGGAGCUGUGCUGAUCCAAAGCCAGGAGCCAGCAGCUUCUUCCAGGUCUCCGGUGCAGGCCCAAGGGCCAUCUUCCACUGCUUUCUCAGACCAUAGCAGAGAGCUGGAUCGGAAGUGGAGCGGCCGGGACUCGAACCGGUGCCCAUAUAGGAUGCAGGCACUGCAGGCGGCGUCUUUAGCCACUACGCCACGGUGCCAGCCCCGUGUGUAUAAACUUUUUAAACUGGACAUCAUCCUAUAUUCACUUUACCUCUAUGUUACGGGAUGAUCCUAUCUGCUUAAUGUACAGUAUCACUUUUAAGUGUUAGCUAAUACGAAUCCCAAUGGAUGCGAAUUGUAAUGAUUCAGUGUGCUCAUCACAGCUGAGCUUUGCUUUGAUCUCCUUAAUCCACCCUCCACACGCCAGCUUGCACCUCAGUUGGGAAUGGGAAAGGGAACACCUGCCAGGUUCUUGCUGGGAGAUCUUGAAUUGUUCCCCACUUUCCUCUAAACAUAGUAGGGCUAUGUGGGGAGAAAGCCUUGAAGUGCUUCAGGUCAGCCCCCUAAACAGGUGAGCUGGGGUCAAAUCCUGACUCUGCUCUUGGCUGCCGUGUGAGGCUGGGUGUGUCCCUUCACAUCUCUGUGCCUCAGUCUUCCCAUCCACAAGAUGGACGUGUGAUGAACAGCGCCUCUCUCACGAGGCCAGCGAAGGAUGAACAGACUGUAAAUAGCUGGUACGCGCGAAGAGCCUGCUGGUGGUGGCCAUUCAUGUGAGGAAUACAUGUAGGUGGCAGCUUCUGAGCUCUGGAAUGUCAGCAAAGACACCAAGUGGGGCAACCUUCCCCCCCAGGAGGGGAGCUGGGCCUCUGUGUUGUGGCAAGGAGUAAUUAUGAUGGAAAAAACAUUUUCCAAGGUCUGGAGCUGACGUGUAUUCCUUGUGACAUUUUAAUCUCUGAGUAAUAGAUUCCAUUGCCUGCAGAGCUGUGAUUUUUUUUUUUUUUCCAUUUAUUGCUUUUUCCUCUUCUCUCUCAAACCUGGAUUCUGCCUCCUCUCGGUUCCAGGCUGCCUCCAGUAACCCUCAACUGUUUUUGGACAGUCCCGAUUCCUGAGCCAGUUCUUUGGGCCCCAGCAGGAAACCCUGCCUUCCUUGGAGGGGAUCUACUGUGUGUUCCAGCAGUCACACCAUUCCCAUGCUUGCAUGAUGCACGAUUCUGCAGUGCAGAUACUGCAACAAACCCUGGGGUGGGGUAGGGUAGGGUAGAGGGGUCCCAUGCAUGCGCUUUGGAACUGGUGGGCUCAGGGCUAGCUUUGUCACUCACACAUGAACUUUAGAACCUUCACUUCUCUGAGGCUCAGUUUGCUCAUCUCUGAAAUGAAAGGCAUCAUCAGCGAUGACCUUCCAGGACUGCUGGAAGGUUGAGUUCCAUCAUGCAUGCAGAGCAUGUUGUACAAGCCCCUGGACACGAUACCUGCUUGGGAAAUGCUAUUUACAAUUACUCUUAUGAUUUGGGGUAGCAAAAACUAGAGCCUCAGGGUCGUUCUCGUUACUGGUCUAUUUUGCAGGCGAGGUAACCUUGACAUGCACAUUUGAAGCUUAGUCUUUGUCCUACGUGUACUGUGGUUCGCCCCUCGGAGGGCAAGACUGCCUUCUCCUUCCUGUCAUCAACUUUUUUUUUUAAUGAGGUGGACAAAUAAUUUUAUUUUGUGCAUGCAAAUACAUGUCAAGUAUUGUACACUUUUUCCAUCAGUUUUCUCACUGAAAAUCAUGACGCUCUGUCUUAUGAACGGCCAACACUAAUAUCUCUUCACCUCAGUGCUAUAGCAAAAACGCACAGAAUUCACUUUAAUUUUUGUGUGUGUAAUUUUGAAAAGGGAUGAUAAUUUUAUUAAAGACUGAGCCAUUUUACUUGAAAGUCAGUUACACAGAGAAGGAGAAGAAGAGAGAAAGUCUUCCAACUACUGGUUCACUCCCCAGAUGGCUAAAACAGCCAGAGCUGCACUGAUCUGAAGCCAGGAGCCCCAUCCAGGUCUCCCAUGCGGGUGCAGGGGCCCAAGGACCUGGGCCAUCCUCCACUGCCUUCUCAGGCCAUAGCGGAGAGCUGGAUAGGAAGUGGGGCAGCCAGGACUUGAACCAUUGCACAUAUAGGAUGCCAGCACUGCAGGCGGCAGCUUCACCUGCUACGCCACAGUGCCAGCCCCAGAAUUCACUCUUUAUUAUUCACUGUCCUCACAACCCUCAUGGUUGCAUCUCUGCCCUCCCCCACCCCCCACAUCUCCUGUCUUCUUAUAGUCACAGGAAUCUUAGGUGUGUGGUCACCCAGCUAAGACUACCUGUCCAGUCUUCCUUGGGGCUAGCUUUGGCUGUGUGACUGGUUUGGCUGGUAGAAUGCACACCAAAGUGACAUUUGAAGCUUCCUGGUUACAUCUUUACAAGGAAAGAGCCUGCUUUCCCUUGCUCCUUUAUCACUUGAAUUGACUGGACUUUUACAUAGUAGACUGUUAUCUUGUUGAAGCUGUUGUAUUUCCGGCUCUUUAUUACAGCAGCCAAACUUGCAAUGAGCGGGAGAGGGAGUAGCGAUUUCAGCAGAAGUGCGACUCAGUAGAGACCUGUUAGGAGACCUGUUUUCUGAUUGUCCUCCUCUACUUCCUGGCCCACACACUCAUUUGCUAUCUUAUUACAACAGCAUUUUGCCUCAACUGUACUAGAUACUAGCCACACAGGCAGUCUCCCACUUUUACAAUGGUUCAAUUUUGGGUUUUUUAACUUCACAAUGAUGGGAAAGAGAGACAUUCAGUGCAAACCCUGCUUUGCAUUUUAUUCUUUUCCAGGACUAGCAGUAAAAUUCUCUAGCAGUGCUCGAUGGUGGUGAGCUGCAGAUGCCAGUGUUGAGCUAAGUGAUGAGGUUUGGUAGUUAAAAGCACUAAAUGUGGAACUGGCAUUGUGGGGCAGUGGGUCAAGCCUCCGUCUGAUGCUGGCCUCCCAUGUGAGCCCUGUGUUGAAUCCCCACUGCUCCACUUGCAUUCCAAGUACUUGAGCCCCUGCUGCCCAUGUGGGAGAUCUGGAUGGAGUCCUAGGCUCCUGACCUUGGCCUGGCCCAGCCCUGGCUGCUUUGGCCAUUUGGAGAGUGAACCAGUGGAUGGAAGAUCAAUCUCUGUGUCUAGUCCGCCCCCCCCCCCCGCCCCGUUACUCUGCCUUUCAAGUAAACCUGUAAGUACUACAUGCAUUUUCAAGCGAAUGCUUUUUUUUUUUCUUUUUGACAGGCAGAGUGGACAGUGAGAGAGAGAGACAGAGAGAAAGGUCUUCCUUUGCCAUUGGUUCACCCUCCAAUGGCUGCCACGGCCGGCGCAAUGUGGCCGGUGCACUGCACUGAUCCAAAGGCAGGAGCCAGGUGCUUCUCCUGGUCUCCCAUGGGGUGCAGGGCCCAAGCACUUGGGCCAUUGUCCGCUGCACUCCCGGGCCAUAGCAGAGAGCUGGCCUGGAAGAGGGGCAACCGGGACAGAAUCCGGUGCCCCGACAGGGACUAGAACCCGGUGUGCUGGCGCCGCAAGGCGGAGGAUUAGCCUAUUGAGCCACGGCGCCGGCCGUGAAUGCUAUUUUCAACAGAUAAUGGACUUAUCAGGACAUAACCCCAUUGUAAUUGAGAAGCACCUGCAUCAAGAUGAAUAAAACAAUCCCAGAGCUUACCUGAUCCACCUGCCGUCUUGGUGUUACCAUGUUAGUCUUUGAGAAGAAAAUAUCCCCUAAGAGAGGAUAUGGGUUCCAUUCCAGAUGCAGGCCAGGGCUCUUAAAUAACUGCCUUAUAUGUCCAAAACAUUUAUGAAUUCCAGCAUGUGUUUCAAAUCUGUUAACACAGUGAGCAAAAUACUCAGAACUACUAGAAGUGCUAAGACACUUACUAGUUGUGAGUCCUUGGCAAGACAUUAAGCCUCAGCCCAGGUUGUCAAACAAGAGUGAUGCUACCUGGGGGGUUGACUUGGAAAGCGCACAUAAAGUGACAUUUUGGAGAUGCUCAAGUGCUGUUGAGGAUGACAGUGACAACAGUACUAACGAUGAUGGAGGAGGAGGCAUGGGCUUGAUUCUCCACUGUUCCGGAAAGUGGGUUAUGAUUGAAGUUGGCCAAGCCAGGCCCUCUGAGGGGUGGUCAUCACCAAUACUCUAAUAUGUACUAUGAGGGUCCAGGCUGUUAGAAACAUUUUUGAAAAAUGGUCACAUGACAGUGUGAAAUCUGUCAACAUUCUACAGCGUUCUGCCCUACCUGCCUUGUUCCUUCAAUCUGCUUUUGUUGUCCUUGCCCAGUUCCUGAUUGUUGGGGCAUUGCCACACUAAUGUAGUCCUAUGGAGUCUGGAGUUGUUGCUGUGGGUCACAUACGUGCCACGUGCUGGAGCCUGACUUGGAACAAAUACUUUUUCAUGGUAAUUUGGCAGAGUUAUGCUAAUGGACCAGUAUUGGUCCAUAACUUGGGACUGGAAUCUCCUAGUGAUAUUCUGGAUAAGUUUUUAUAAGGUCAAUAUACUUAUAUCACUACCUCCUAAGAAUGUCCAAGGCAUUGUAUUGUGAUAAUGCUCAUAAUACUGUGGUUUUAUGGAGAAGAUUCCCUGUGGCAGGCUCAGCAAUUGCAUGAAUUUUUCUGGUAAGGCAGACUUUUCACCUUUAUUUUAUAACUGCUAAUCAAGCUGAGGAAGCAAAUAUCUUUUCUCUAAGAUUUAUUUGAAAAGUAGAAAAGAAGAAUCUUCGAUCUGCUGGUUCACCCUCCAAAUGACCACAAUGGCCAGGGGUGGGCCUGGCCAAAGCCAGGAGCUUCUUCCAGGUCUCCCAAGUGAGUGCAGGGGUCCAAGGACCUGGGCCACCCUCUGCUGUUGUCCCAGGCAAAUUAUCAGGGAGCUGGAUUGGAAGUGGAGCAGCCAGGACUUGAACUAGCACCAGUAUGGGAUGCCAGCAUUGCAGGCAGCAGCUUAACCCUUACAACACAACAUGGGGAGUCAGAUGGGUUAAUACUCAGGGGAUCCCAAUGGGAUUUGGGGUGUAAAAUAUUUGCUUCUUGCCCUCAAACAUUAUCUUUAGCAGGAACAACAGGCCACCCUCCUUCCUUCCUUCUGAAUCUCCAAAUUUACUGUGAGAAUGGCAAGGGAGCUCCUCCUGACCUCAUAGCUUACUGUGAAAACACGUUAUCUGUCUGCAACACGUAGUUCGUCACCUGACCUUACCGUGUUUCCGGCUUGAGCUCUAACUGGUCUCCGUCCUCCCUCACAUCGGCCAGACAGGACAGAGAGUUAUGAGGUCUUCUGAUGGUUUCUGUCCCCACCUGGUAACUGAAUGCCAAUGUGAUUGUCGAAACUGUGCUUGAAGCUGACUGCCACCAGUUCCCUUUGGGUUUUCCUCUUGGAAGCCCCCUCCCACGCCACUCUGGCUGGAGAUCCUUGAUUCUAAUAAACACUUUUAAAUCUCUUUGCCAUCCGCUUGGAAAUUCUCCUUCCAUGUGAGACAAAGAACCAAGGUAACAAUAGUUUCUCCGCCGCCAUUUUCCCACUGUCCCAAAGCAAAUAUCUUGAAACCUGGAUGAAGCUCCUGGCUCCGGACUUUGGCCUGGCUCAACCCUGCCUGUUACGGCCACUUCGAAUGCACCAGUGGAUGGCAGAUCUGUGUAACUCUGCCUUUCAAAUAAAUAAAACUUAACAAAAAACCCCUGAUGGGAAAGCCAGGGAAGAGGAGACCAGUUAAGAACGCCUUAGGACUUAGGUGGGACUUAGGUAGGACUCGGACGUGUUGAGUGUGUGUGCCUGGUGGCUCGUCUGCAACACGUAGUUCGUCACCUGACCUUACCAUGUUUCCGGCUUGCUCUAACUGGUCUCUGUCCUCCCUCACAUCCUCCAACCUCAUAUUCCAUCCCCUGUAUCCUCUGAAUGCCCACGGUCUCUCGGCCCUAACACUGGGGAUGGCAGGGGAACACCGGAAACUGGAGAUGGUUACCCGUUUUCAAGGGUACAAGAAUGUGAAGAUGGCAGAAGAAUGCAUGCGGCCAGCUUUGGUCUCCAACGGUGAGCCUGGGCACCACUGACCAUUGGGCUUAAUGUUGUGACGCAACGCUAGGGGUGGUUAGCUGGAGAAAGGUGGAAUUCUCUUGUCUAUUUCCACAGGACUUCCUUGCCUAAAACCUUCAUGGCUUAAGUCCUCUCCAGAGCUUUGCCUGGCAGAGAAAAACUGAUUGACCUUGAAAUUUCUGAAUUACCUUCAUUCAGCCCUGGGAAAUGUGCCAUCUCUAUACCUUUAGUAUCAAGGUCUCUCUUUGUCUUAUCAGUAAAAUGCCAUAAAACAACAGUAAAAACUAUGACUCAUGUUCAAAACAAAUCUCAUGGUAUUAAAGAUAGGGAGGCAUGGGUUUUUUUAAUCCCUUGAGAGUAGAGAUAACACUAAUUAUUUCCUGUUUUCCAGGAAAGCAGGGUGAAGUUUGGGUAAGGUAAUGGGCACGGGACAAGUCGAAGCUUCUGAGUGCUGGGCCAGUUACCCUGAGCUUGGCAAGGGCUUGUUACAGAAAUGUCAAGACUUGCUUGAGAUGGUCCACAGGUGGGAGUCGCUCUGAGGGCACUGGGAGGAGUCGGCGGCCUAGACCAGCUCUCUCCCUUGGCUUCUGAGAAAGAUGUUGUAUAAAGAGGCAGUGUUCAGGAAAGCUACCAGGGAGAGAUUUCUGACUAUUUGACAAGGCCUUUAAAUUCUAAACCAUCUCCACUAUAGAUUGACCAGUUAUCUUUGCGGAACUGCCCAAUGUGAAUUAAUGUGGAGUCUUUAAUUACCAGAAGGAGAGUCUGAUUGACUUAAGCUCACCCACUGGCACAUUAACUGAGUCUUGCUGAGACUGAAUGUGUUGGAAGAGAAAUGAUCCACAGAGAUAUUGAAAGGCUAUUACUAAAAAUAAAGAGAUGGGGGCACUAUAUUCCUCACUUUGUAAGAUACAGGUAUUGCAUUGUCAUUCCUUCAUUUCUAACUUCUCUCAAUUGAAUUUAUAAUUUUAUACUAAUAGAAUCCAUGUUUAUUCUUCACAUGUUUUAGCUUUCAGCUGAUUUUCACAAUUGAACAUCAUCAGUCUUUACAGUAGCCCUGCUUUUCUGAAGAGAAGAGUAGUAUGCUAUGAUACACUAGCCUUCCUGAGGCUUUUGAUUUUGCUUGGAUUUCUUUUUAAAGAUUUUAUUUAUUUGAAAGUUAGAGGUAGAGACAGAUCUUCCAUCCGCUGGUUCACUCCCCAGAUGGCUGCAGUGGCUGGAGCUGUGCCGAUCCGGAGCCCGGAGCCAGGAGCCAGGAGCUGCUUCUGGGUUUCCCACAUGGGCACAGGGGCCCAAGCACUUGGGCCAUCCUCUGCUUUCCCAGGCCAUAGCAGAGAGCUGGAUCAGAAGAGGAGCAGCCAGGACUAGAACCGGCGCCCAUAUGGGAUGCUGGUACUUCAGGCCAGGGCUUUAACCCGCUGCGCCACAGCGCGGCCCCUUCCUGGGAUUUCUAAUUGCCUUGAUGUUUGUGUUGUCUGUUCAUCAUGUGCUUAUGCUUCUAAAGUGUCUGAAGCAAACCGCCUAGUUUAUGGAAGCUAUUUGCUCUCCAGAACCUGCCUUUUGGAACUCCCCACCUCACGCCUUCUGGGGCUGGUAGUUGGUGAUACUUUCUUUUCAGCUCUCCUCUGAGUUGAGCACUCAUCACCGAGUCUCACGAUUUCUGAAUCUGCACAUCUUUCCAAGUGAGCGCCUCCAGUUAGAGGACGGAGGAAAUGAACAUUGAGUCCUUUGACUAAAUCUGCUGUGCUUCUAUUACUUGAUGACAUUUUGCCUGGGAUAAAAUUGUAAUCAAAGUUUUUUUUUUUUUCCUUUUUAAAUACUUGAUUCAAUUUUCUUUAAGCUCUGAGUGUUGCUAUUGAAGUCUGUUUAUUGUUCGUUCUAAAAGUUGUCUGAGAAAUUUUCCGCCAUGGGAUAUUCGUUUGUAUUUUCUUUCUCUCCUUUGUUUUCCCUCUUGGAACUUCUGUUAGUCAGAUGUUGGAUCUUCUGCAUCAGUUCUCUGUAGUGUUUAUUUUCCUCUCUGAUUUCUGUCUCUUGACUGUUCAGCUGGAGUUGUUCCUCAGCUUUGUCUUCCCAGCUGUCAGAGUUUCAUUUUCACGAUCAUUUCGCGUACCAGGGGAUUCCAAUUCAAUCCCAUAGAGGUGGCAUGUACCAAUGCCAUCUCACUGUUCCAAGUGAUCAGUUUCAGUUCACAGUUGGUCAUGGUGGAGGGACUGGGAGUCAAAGGGAGCACAUAGACAAGUCUAGUACCUGCGAACGCUAACCGAUGGAGUAAAUAAAGGGGAGAGUGAUCCAACAUGGGAAGUGAGAUACUCAGCAGACUCAUAGAAUGGCAGAUGUCCUAAAUAGCACUCUGGCCUCAGAAUCAGCCCUAAAGGCAUUCGGAGCUGGCUGAAAAGCUCAUGAGAGUAUUUCAGGCAUGGAAAGCCAAGACACUCUGGCAAAAGAUCUCUGCGAGUGAGAUCCCAGUGGAAAGAACAGGUCAUCAAAGAAGGAGGUACCUUUCUCUGAAGGGAGGAGAGAACCUCCACUUUGACUAUGACCUUGUCUAAACAAGAUAAGAGUCGGAGAACUCAGAGGGCUUCCAUAGCCUUGGCAGCUCAUGACUGGAGCAUAGGGAGAUUACUGAUGCCAUAGACAGGAGUGUCAAUUUGUAAAGUCAACAACAGGAGUCACUGUGCACUUACUCCUCAUGUAGGAUCUCUAUCCUUAAUGUGCUGUACAUUGAGAUUUAAUGCUAUAACGAGUACUCAAACAAUAUAUUUCACUUUGUGUUUCUAUGGGGGUACAAACUGUUGAAAUCCUUACUUAAUGCAUACUAAACUGAUCCUCUGUAAAAAUUUCUUUUUUUCUUUUUUUUUUUUUAAUCAAUUCCCAACUUGACUCUCACUGGGAUUAAACAUGACAGUAGGUCUGCUCUGAUUUCAUCAUCAUUUAAAAAAAUCAUCUAUUUUUCACUUUAUGUUUCUGUGUGGGAGCAAACUGUUGAAAUCCAUACUUGAUGUAUACUAAGCUGAUCUUCUGUAUAUUAAGAUAAUCAAAAAUGAAUCUUGAUGUGAAUGGAAGGGGAGAGG